rnacentral:pre_miRNA from 13 species
UGUCAAAAUUUACAUACGGAUUUUAAUCCGUAUGUAAUGUUAAUUUUACAUACGGAUCAAAUCCGUAUGUAAUAAUUUGUAUA